CAGCAACUAACCAUGAAAUAUGUGCAAUACAGCACAUCUUUAUGACAUAUCUCUCUGAAUUUGAUUCUAAUCAUUCUAAAUAAUAUAGCGCUCCUUUGGAUUUCUCAGUGAACCUGCUCACAACAGGUGGGCCAUACAACCCAUGUUGCUGAUCAAUAUUAAACAUUGUCAGGGACUAAAUCUGAUGAAAUGUAUUUAAGGUCCAGGCCAUGCAAAACCAAAUUGAGUCCCUCCUGGAGCAUUGUGUUUUCGAUGUCUUUCCAUUCACAGGGCAGGCGUGGUGGUGUUUAAGGAUCCAAGGUGCAGACGGUGUGAUGGAGGAACAUGCAGGAAUCAUUCCAGCUCCCACACACAGUAAACACCACCUCUACAUCCAUGAGAAGACACUCCUUACCAAAUCUACCAGGUGAUUUGUCCCCGACCCAUGUGCUCUCUCUCUCUGGGAAUGCUACAAUUCUCUUUAUUUUGGCAGAUUUCUAAUAGUGAAUGAGUGAAAACUUUCUCUAGACAUUUGUAAGCUAUUACUGUCUGCUGCUACAACCAAAUGAUUUCCCCAUGUUGAGCAGUUUACCGUAAUAUAUUCAAUAAAGUAAUGGCACAAUUGCACAAUAUUCUGGAUUGUAAAAGUGAAAUCAAAAUGAGACGAUUUUUUGAAAUUAAAUGAUUUCUGAUUACGGGCAUGAUUUUUAUUGGUAAAGCUACAUGGCAAAUGAAUCUCUAGUCCCAGUCUUGGUGAGUUCGCACAGCCCUGUGUUGUCAGCAGUCAUAACCAAAUGUAAUUGCUGUUGAAAAAUAGAACUGCUACAAGGGAUGUUCUUGCUAAUUUGCAUUUGGAUGUUUUUACUUCAGCACUGCUGGUCUCAGCAGAAAAAAAGAGUGGUCAUGCUGUGCAUGAGGGCCAGUGAGAUCUCACAGUUUGGAUAAGAUUAGCAAGCAGCAUCAUUAUAUGCAUCAGCAUCAACUGUUGGCACUUGGUUUACAAAAACAACGAAUGAGCUUAUUCCCUUAUGUCGAAAAGCACGCGGAGGUAAUUCUGCUGGUAGCAGGAGGUCUGGAAAGUUCACAGACCUUAGAAAACUAAAGAUUGUUAUGAACAAAUGUUCCUGGUCAAGUUAAUGAUAACUUAGAAAACUGCUGUCACAAAACACAGCCAAGGGCUAAACUGUUACCAUGGAGCCCACCAUCUUUCAGCAGAGUAAAUGUGAACAGAGCUUGCUAUCAUUCAACUUAGCAUAGUGUAUGCUAAGCUGCUAGCAUUAGCAUUAGUGUAUGCUGAUAGCUGAUGCUAUAUGCCAGAGGUGAGAUGUUACCAGUUUAAAUACCCAACUGUUCUUGCUAAUGCUAAUGUUUAGUAGGGGUGGAAUGUAAAUAAGUAAUUUAAUCAAGGACUGUACUUAUUGUUAUACGUACUAUUUUUGUACAAAUUUGAGGUACUUGUACUUUACUUGAGGCUUUUCUUUUCAUGCCACUUUCCACUUCUACUGUACUUUUUACUCCACUACAUUCAUCUGAAAGCUUUAGUUACUAGUUAUUUUACAAAAUAGGGAUUUUGCAAACAAUACACAUGUAGUUUAUAAAAUAUAAUGCUUUAUUAUAAAUUAAACUACCCAACAAUGUAUAGGCCACAAGAACAGCUGAAAUGAUUAGCCCAUUAAACAGUUGACUGACAGAACAGUUUUGACUGUUAACAGUUUCUAAAAGGUGAGGAUUUUUCUUCAUUGAGUAUUUUUUACUUUUAAUACUUUAGGAAAAUUUUCCUGAUAAUACUUACUUACUUUAACUUCAGUAACAUUUUCAAUGCAGGAUGCUUACUUGUAACAGAGUAUUUUUACAUUGUGGUGUUAGUACUUCCAAUUCCAUCACUGAUGUUCGAUUGUGAUCCCUUACAUUCAGGAACAUCAGUGUGACUAUCACACCUUGCUUUGACUCAGUUUUGGUUGUAUUCAAUUAGCCCUAAGAUGAUUUAUUAGUGUUCAGUUUGCUGCCACGUUUCUCUCGUUAAAAGAUCACAGGUAGGGACUCCAUAGGUUCCGCCGCACAUGACCAUGGAAACCUUCAAGUUUGCUCCAUUAACAUUUCAGGGAGCUGAUUCUCUUAUCCAGAGUGACUUGAAUCAGUAGUAGGGGUUUUACUGUUAUGCUCAAUGACUACAACAGGACAAGUCUUUCUGAGUUAUUGCUAGAAUACACUGUUGAAUGUGUAGGGUUCAGUAUUUUAGAAUCUUUUUAGAACUGCGCCCUGGUUUUCCUCCAUGCAAUGCCAUCCCAAUGUCUGCUUGUUAGAAACAUACACAUUCAUGAUAAACUGACAUGUGUGUUGGUUUUCCGAUUUUUAGUGUGUGGUGAAAUACAUUGUUAUUUAACACAUUUCCUUUAUCACAUUUAAAAAAAAAUUGAUCAAGUAGAAUAUUUCCUCCACACUUAAAAUGUGUAAUAUUGUGAAUAUUAAAUAUUGUUAAAUGUUUGUUAAAGCAUGCUGGAAUUAAAUAAAAAGUUUCAUGUAAAAA